rnacentral:rRNA from 1 species
AACGAACGCUGGCGGCGUGCCUAAUACAUGCAAGUCGAACGAGAAAGCCCGGCUUCGGUUGGGUGAGUAAAGUGGCGAACGGGUGAGUAACACGUGGACAAUCUGCCUGUACAUCUGGGAUAAUCCCUCGAAAGGGGGUCUAAUACCGGAUAACACUUUCUGGUGGCAUCAUCGGGAAGCCAAAGACGGGGCAACCUGUUGUGUACAGAUGAGUCCGCGCUCCAUUAGCUUGUUGGCGGGGUAACAGCCCACCAAGGCGACGAUGGAUAGCCGGCCUGAGAGGGUGAUCGGCCACACUGGGACUGAGAUACGGCCCAGACUCCUACGGGAGGCAG